rnacentral:rRNA from 1 species
AUACGGAGGAUCCGAGCGUUAUCCGGAUUUAUUGGGUUUAAAGGGAGCGUAGGCGGGAGAUCAAGUCAGCUGUGAAAUGUAGAUGCUCAACAUCUGCACUGCAGUUGAAACUGGUUUUCUUGAGUGCGUAAGGGGCAGGCGGAAUUCGUCGUGUAGCGGUGAAAUGCUUAGAUAUGACGAAGAACUCCGAUCGCGAAGGCGGCCGGCCGGGCCGCGACUGACGCUGAAGCUCGAAGGUGCGGGUAUCGAACAGGAUUAGAUACCCUGGUAGUCCGCACAGUAAACGAUGGAUACUCGCUGUCGGCGAUAUACGGUCGGUGGCCAAGCGAAAGCGUUAAGUAUCCCACCUGGGGAGUACGCCGGCAACGGUGAAACUCAAAUGAAUUGGCGGGG